CCUUUGUAAAGUGCCUUCGAAGAGUCGAGUUGUUUGGGAAUGCAGCUCUAAGUGGGUGGUAAAUUCCAUCUAAAGCUAAAUAUUGGCGAGAGACCGAUAGCGAACAAGUACAGUGAUGGAAAGAUGAAAAGAACUUUGAAAAGAGAGUGAAAAAGUACGUGAAAUUGUUGAAAGGGAAGGGCAUUUG
rnacentral:rRNA from 1 species